CUGGUUGAAUCACUAAUGCACCGGAUCUCAUCAAAACUAUGCAAUUAAGGGUACUUAGGCGAGAGUAGUACUAGAAUGGGUGACCUCGUGAAUAGUCCUCGUGUUGCACCCC